GGACGAACGCUGGCGGCGUGCUUAACACAUGCAAGUCGAACGGUGAAGGGAUCAGCUUGCUGGUUCUGGAUGAGUGGCGAACGGGUGAGUAACACGUGAGUAACCUGCCCCCUUCUUCUGGAUAACCGCAUGAAAGUGUGGCUAAUACGGGAUAUUCUGGGUCUGUCGCAUGAUGGGUCUGGGAAAGAUAUUGUUUCGGUGGGGGAUGGGCUCGCGGCCUAUCAGCUUGUUGGUGGGGUGAUGGCCUACCAAGGCGGUGACGGGUAGCCGGCCUGAGAGGGUGGACGGUCACACUGGGACUGAGACACGGCCCAGACUCCUACGGGAGGCAGCAGUGGGGAAUAUUGCACAAUGGGCGCAAGCCUGAUGCAGCGACGCCGCGUGAGGGAUGGAGGCCUUCGGGUUGUAAACCUCUUUCGCCAGUGAAGCAGGCCUGCUCCUUGUGGGUGGGUUGACGGUAGCUGGAUAAGAAGCGCCGGCUAACUACGUG
rnacentral:rRNA from 1 species